GAUGAACGCUAGCGGGAGGCUUAACACAUGCAAGUCGAGGGGCAACAUAGGGUAGCAAUACUCUGAUGGCGACCGGCAAACGGGUGAGUAACGCGUAUGUAACCUACCCUGUACAGGGGGAUAACCCGGAGAAAUUCGGACUAAUAUCCCAUAACAAUAUCCGGGGGCAUCUUUGGAUAUUUAAAGUUCCGGCGGUACGGGAUGGGCAUGCGUAACAUUAGCUAGUUGGUAAGGUAACGGCUUACCAAGGCUUUGAUGUUCGGGGGUCCUGAGAGGGUGGUCCCCCACACUGGUACUGAGACACGGACCAGACUCCUACGGGAGGCAGCAGUGAGGAAUAUUGGUCAAUGGGCGCAAGCCUGAACCAGCCAUCCCGCGUGCAGGAAGACGGCGCUAUGCGUUGUAAACUGCUUUUCCAGGGAGAGAAACUUGCGCACGUGUUGCGCAAUUGACGGUACCCUGGGAAUAAGCAUCGGCUAACUCCGUGCCAGCCGCCGCGGUAAAAC
rnacentral:rRNA from 1 species